rnacentral:rRNA from 1 species
GAUGAACGCUGGCGGCGUGCCUAAUACAUGCAAGUCGAGCGAACGGACGAGAAGCUUGCUUCUCUGAUGUUAGCGGCGGACGGGUGAGUAACACGUGGAUAACCUACCUAUAAGACUGGGAUAACUUCGGGAAACCGUAGCUAAUACCGGAUAAUAUUUUGAACCGCAUGGUUCAAAAGUGAAAGACGGUCUUGCUGUCACUUAUAGAUGGAUCCGCGCUGCAUUAGCUAGUUGGUAAGGUAACGGCUUACCAAGGCAACGAUGCAUAGCCGACCUGAGAGGGUAAUCGGCAAACAUGGAAUGAGGCACGGGCCCAAACCCCAAGGGGGGGCAGCAGUAGGGAAUCUUCCGAAAGGGGCGAAAGCCUGAAGGGGAAACGCCGGGGGGGUGAUGAAGGUUUUCGGAUCGUAAAACUUUGUUAUGAGGGAAGAACAAAUGUGUAAGUAACUGUGCACAUCUGGGCGGUACCUAAUCAAAAAACCACGGAGAACUACGU